CUGCAAUAGGGAUAGCAGUGGAAAUCCUUUUUAUUUUUGAUGGCAUUGAGCUUCGGGAAAAUAAAAAGAUUGUAACGGAUAGCCCGACCCGAG
rnacentral:sRNA from 2 species